CAGCAGUGGGGAAUAUUGCACAAUGGGCGCAAGCCUGAUGCAGCCAUGCCGCGUGUAUGAAGAAGGCCUUCGGGUUGUAAAGUACUUUCAGCAGUGAGGAAGGUGGGUAUGUUAAUAGCAUAUUCAUUUGACGUUAGCUGCAGAAGAAGCACCGGCUAACUCCGUGCCAGCAGCCGCGGUAAUACGGAGGGUGCGAGCGUUAAUCGGAAUUACUGGGCGUAAAGCGCAUGCAGGUGGUUUGUUAAGUCAGAUGUGAAAGCCCGGGGCUCAACCUCGGAAUUGCAUUUGAAACUGGCAAACUAGAGUACUGUAGAGGGGGUAGAAUUUCAGGUGUAGCGGUGAAAUGCGUAGAGAUCUGAAGGAAUACCGGUGGCGAAGGCGGCCCCCUGGACAGAUACUGACACUCAGAUGCGAAAGCGUGGGGAGCAAACAGGAUUAGAUACCCUGAUAG
rnacentral:rRNA from 1 species